rnacentral:lncRNA from 1 species
GGGGACUGGUGUUGGGUAUAAAAUAACCCCAGCCGAAGUUCGUAAAAGGCCGACCCUUCCAGGGCUCUUCCGACUUCCGACCUUGUGCGGCGUCUUUCUGAACUCCCCCAACUGUCCGAGCUUCCAUAAUACCAUCCGGACUUCUCCAAUAAUGAGCUCCUCCAUUCAUCUACUGGGCUGCUUCUAACGCAUUCUGAGCUUCACAUCAGUCAAUUUUCUACAGUGAUCGACUAUUCUCCGAAUCUCUUUCAGACUUCUUCCAGCC